rnacentral:rRNA from 1 species
GCCUAUGGCCACACCACCCGAUGUCAUCUGGUCUUGGAAGCUAAGCAGGGUCAGGCCCAGUUAGUACUUGGAUGGGAGACUGAUUGGGAUACCAGGUGCUGUAGGCU